rnacentral:rRNA from 1 species
CCUACGGGAGGCAGCAGUGAGGAAUAUUGGUCAAUGGCCGUAAGGCUGAACCAGCCAAGUCGCGUGAAGGAAGAAGGAUCUAUGGUUUGUAAACUUCUUUUAUAGGGGAAUAAAGGUACCCACGUGUGGAUAUUUGAAUGUACCCUAUGAAUAAGCAUCGGAUAACGCCGGGCCAGCAGCCGCGGUAAUACGGAGGAUGCGAGCGUUAACCGGAUUGAUUGGGCUUAAAGGGUGCGUAGGUUGUAUUGUAAGUCAGCGGUGAAAGUUUAUGGCUCAACCCGAGAAGUGCCGUUGAAACUGGAAGACUGGAGUGUGUGUGAGGUAAGCGGAAUUCGAGGUGUAGCGGUGAAAUGCAUAGAUAUCACGCAGAACUCCGAUUGCGAAGGCAGCUUACUAAGCCAUAACUGACACUGAAGAACGAAAGCGUGGGGAUCAAACAGGAUUAGAUACCCGGGUAGUC